rnacentral:rRNA from 1 species
UUCCAGACUCCUACGGGAGGCAGCAGUGGGGAAUAUUGCACAAUGGGCGCAAGCCUGAUGCAGCGACGCCGCGUGCGGGAUGGAGGCCUUCGGGUUGUAAACCGCUUUUGUUCAAGGGCAAGGCACGGUCUUUGGCCGUGUUGAGUGGAUUGUUCGAAUAAGCACCGGCUAACUACGUGCCAGCAGCCGCGGUAAUACGUAGGGUGCAAGCGUUAUCCGGAUUUAUUGGGUUUAAAGGGUGCGUAGGCGGAAUGCCAAGUCAGCGGUAAAAUCGGGGGGCUCAACCUCGCUCCGCCGUUGAAACUGGCGUUCUUGAGCGGGCGAGAAGUAUGCGGAAUGCGUGGUGUAGCGGUGAAAUGCAUAGAUAUCACGCAGAACUCCGAUUGCGAAGGCAGCAUACCGGCGCCCAACUGACGCUGAAGCACGAAAGCGUGGGUAUCGAACAGGAUUAGAUACCCGCGUAA